rnacentral:lncRNA from 1 species
ACCUUAUCAUUUCAUUUAAAUAUAAAUUUUUAAUUUAUUUAUUUAGCCGUUCAUUAACAAGUCCUGUGCUUUAUAAUACAUUAAAAAAUGGAAGGACGUGAAGAAAACAGGUUUGUAAAUGAUGUUGUACAUCAUGCAGAUAGCUCAGAAGAAGAAGCAGGAAUGUUUGACUGGAAAUAUAAACGAUGUUGUACAUAUUGCAGAUAGCUUAGGCAAAAAAGAGAUUGGUGAAAUGGAGAAUGAGACUAACUAGGGU